UUUCUUUCGAUUCAAAGCCACAGUGGCCACGAGACAUCGUCUCGUUAAUUGUUUCCUCAGGCGAUUGCUUGUCUUCUAACACUACUGAUGACAUUAAUAACUCUCUCCGACAACCUUAAGUGAUUCAUAAAGUGGAAGCUCAAUUCAUUCAUUUUUUUAAAGAUAAUCGUAGUUGGAUUCAAAAGCAUGGCAGAAAUUAGAAGGGCGUUUAUUGUUUCUAAAGUUGGGAUACAGUCAUGAAAUUGAAUUAUCAGUGCCUCCUGCUGUUCGUGUAUUUUGUUUCAAACCAAAUACCGUUUGUUGCACCGGAAUCGACAAGCAAAGGGUGCACCAAUUUGUUGUCGCCGUUCUAGCUAUUAGUCACUGGAGGAUUACAAAGGCAAAGGUAACUCUUCUUCAUGUUAAUGAAUAUCUUACACUCAUUGGAUGAGAAGAUUUUUCCAACUACAUAUUAUGGCAAACUGGAUUCUCGUCUAGGGAAACUUUGUCUAAAGGUAUAUUGUGAUCAACCUGCCACCAACUUGUGAUGUCUUCAAUAAUCUGUCGUUACUUUUUUUUUCUACCGUGAAUCAUGGCAAUAUUCCUUCAGGUAUUUUAGGAUAUAAGAUAAUAUCCUUCAAAUAAGGAACACUAAAAUGCAGAUAUGUAGGAAUUGAAUGUCGAUUGAUGCACUGAUUUAGUGGGCGGGAAAAGUAGAGAGUAUAAUGUUGGAGAGAAUGCCACGUGGUAGAAGGGUGGUGUAAAAGAAGGAUAUGUGGCACCUUAGAGAGAUUUUUAUUAGGAAGAUAGAUAUCAUAAAAUACAUGUUGAAUAAUGUUCUCUUAGAUAGAAAUAUAGACUGUCUUAACAUAAAAGAGAAAGAUGACAUAAAGAUACAUACAUGUUAAAAAAGGUAAUUGCUCUAACUGAUAAUAGCUUAAAGAUUGAUUUACCAAAAGCUCAUGAGAAGUAAUUAUCAGUAUCACUUCAUCAUCUUGUGAUUAUAAAAAGAUCCAUAACACAUAAAAUUAAAAAAAUUGUCUCAAGUAUACCUUUAAACACAUACCCAAAUUGGUUAAUAUAUAAAACUUUGCAUGCACCAAUAUUUACAUUUACUUUGCAUUUACAUUUGGAAAAGUUGUAAUUUUUCUCUUACAUCCAUGAAACCAUUCGCAUAACUCUUCAAACUUUACCGAUAUAAUCUAUCACUUUGUGUUGACAUAUAUGCAAUAUGCAAGCUACAAUGUUCUUAUAUAGGCCAAAUAUUUCAUUUAACCCAUUAAUUAAAUAAUACGAUUUGAAGAGUUUUGGAAGUUACAAAUCACAACAUUUCAAUUAAUCAUAAAUUAAAUUAUAUAAGAUGAAUAGUCUUGGUAGUUUCAAAUGCAUGAGGUUGGUUGAAGAUUGCCUUGAACUCGGUGAGUCUAUUAGUGGACUCGGCGAGUUAGGUCGCGAAACCCCAAACCCUUCGAGUUGAGACUCGAAUCAGUGAGUCGGGUGGUGACUCAGCGAGUUGGUCAGGAUAGGACUUGGAACUAGUUGGACUCGGCGAUUCAUAGACUGACUCGGCAAGUCGAGUCGCGAAUAGAAAGACCCUGAGCAUAUGAACUCGGCGAGUCAUUAGGAGGACUCAGCGAGUAGGGUUGACCUGGAAGGUUGGCUUUGACCAGGAUUUUGACCUUGACCAGAGUUGACCUAGUUGACCUUUGGAGGUCAGUUGGACUAAGUGUUAUAUGGAUACUGACAGCUCGGAGAGCUAGAGGAACAGCGGUUCAGGAGAUUGUCGAGUAGCAGCCAGAGGUUUAUUAGCAGAGCUCAGCAGUUCAGGUACUCGGUUUUCAAAAGAGGAGCUCGGGAAGAUUGCGGUGCACACACCAUAGUCAGUUAGCCUGGGAACGUUUGACUCUGAUGAUGAUGUUAUGUUUUGAUUUAAUACUCGAGAAAUUAUGUUAUGACUUAUGAAACGGUUUUUUUUAUAAAUAUGAAUUUAGUAAUGUUUUAA